GCCCUGGUGGCACAGUGGUUAAAUGCCUGUGCUGCAACCACUCACAAACCACAAGGUUGUGAGUUCAAUACCAGCCAGGGGCU
rnacentral:tRNA from 1 species